GCAAGUCGAGCGAUUUACUUCGGUAAAGAGCGGCGGACGGGUGAGUAACGCGUGGGUAACCUGCCCUAUACACACGGAUAACAUACCGAAAGGUAUGCUAAUACGGGAUAACAUAAGAGAUUCGCAUGGAUUUCUUAUCAAAGCUUUUGCGGUAUAGGAUGGACCCGCGUCUGAUCAGCUAGUUGGUAAGGUAACGGCUUACCAAGGCGGCGAUCAGUAGCCGACCUGAGAGGGUGAUCGGCCACAUUGGAACUGAGACACGGUCCAAACUCCUACGGGAGGCAGCAGUGGGGAAUAUUGCACAAUGGGCGAAAGCCUGAUGCAGCAACGCCGCGUGAGCGAUGAAGGCCUUCGGGUCGUAAAGCUCUGUCCUCAAGGAAGAUAAUGACGGUACUUGAGGAGGAAGCCCCGGCUAACUACGUGCCAGCAGCCGCGGUAAUACGUAGGGGGCUAGCGUUAUCCGGAAUUACUGGGCGUAAAGGGUGCGUAGGUGGUUUCUUAAGUCAGAGGUGAAAGGCUACGGCUCAACCGUAGUAAGCCUUUGAAACUGAGAAACUUGAGUGCAGGAGAGGAGAGUAGAAUUCCUAGUGUAGCGGUGAAAUGCGUAGAUAUUAGGAGGAAUACCAGUUGCGAAGGCGGCUCUCUGGACUGUAACUGACACUGAGGCACGAAAGCGUGGGGAGCAAACAGGAUUAGAUACCCUGGUAGUCCACGCCGUAAACGAUGAGUACUAGCUGUCGGAGGUUACCCCCUUCGGUGGCGCAGCUAACGCA
rnacentral:rRNA from 1 species